UACGGGGGGAGCAAGCGUUGUUCGGAUUUACUGGGCGUAAAGGGCGCGUAGGCGGUCGUGACAAGUCACUUGUGAAAUCUCCGGGCUUAACUCGGAACGGUCAAGUGAUACUGUCGGACUAGAGUACAGAAGGGGCAACUGGAAUUCUCGGUGUAGCGGUGAAAUGCGCAGAUAUCAGGAGGAACACCAAUGGCGAAGGCAGCUCGCUGGGACGGUACUGACGCUGAGGCGCGAAAGCGUGGGGAGCAAACAGG
rnacentral:rRNA from 1 species